rnacentral:rRNA from 1 species
UCUUCGGAUUGUAAAGCCCUGUCAAACAAGAAGAACUACCCUGAAAACUAAUAUUUUCAGGGUAUGACGGUAUUGUUAGAGGAAGCCCCGGCUAACUCCGUGCCAGCAGCCGCGGUAAGACGGAGGGGGCAAGCGUUGUCCGGAAUUACUGGGCGUAAAGAGCGCGUAGGCGUUUCGAUAAGUCGGGUGUGAAAGCCUUCUGCUCAACAGAAGAAGUGCACUCGAAACUAUCGGGAUUGAGGACAGGAGAGGAGAGUGGAAUUCCCAGUGGAGCGGUGAAAUGCGUAGAUAUUGGGAGGAACACCUGUGGCGAAGGCGACUCUCUGGCCUGUUACUGACGCUGAGGCGCGAAAGCUAGGGGAGCAAACGGGAUUAGAUACCCCGGUAGUCCUAGCCGUAAACGAUGGGCACUAGGUGUAGGAGGUAUCGACUCCUUCUGUGCCGUAACUAACGCGUUAAGUGCCCCGCCUGGGGAGUACGGCCGCAAGGCUGAAACUCAAAGGAAUUGACGGGGGCCCGCACAAGCGGUGGAGCAUGUGGUUCAAUUCGAUGCAACGCGAAGAACCUUACCGGGGUUU